CCGGAGGCCGAGGGCCUCAGGGCUGUCUCACAGGCUCCCCAGCUGAUCUACAAUUCAAUUCUCUUUUGUGCACAAUCCCAGACACUGUCUAACAGUUCAGAUCCAAGCUUUCAACCCCAAGGCUUUAGCCUCAGGCACUCCCUGAGCUCAGCUGGACAUGCAGAGACCGAGGCAGACCGGAAUCUAGGCCAGAGACCAACUGACUAUGUUGCUUCAUUUGCCUUGGACGGAGAAGGUGGAUUUCUGAUCUGACUUAGCAUCGGUUGCCUUCUGGGUCCCAGCCACUGGAUGGAAAGUCUGUGAGGGGUCAGAAGAUGGUCCUCACAGAGCCAUGAGGCCCUCACAGAACUUCAUACAAAGCAGAUUAAAGACAAAACACUCAAGGCAGCCAUGAUGAUGACUCAGACUAAAGUGGCCCUGACCCAGAACAUUCCAGGAUAGAGCAGUGGGUGACCCGUGGGUGAAAAGCUUACAGGACAAAAGUCACCAGACAUCUGAGGAAGAAAGCUACCCGAAAAGAAUGUCAACAAACUGGGAACCAUGUGACCUCCAGCAGAAACCAGCACAGGCCAACUAAGGGUGUCAAAGAGGGACGGGCAGAGACACUUGACAGAGUGAGGAGGAAGGUAUAUAUGCAAAGUAAGAGCGGAAGUCAGAGAAAGAACUAGAAAUAUCACAUGUGAGAUGCAUAAAACAGAUCACUGAGAAAUAAUAAAAACAUGAGAAAUCGCUCAUUGAAAAAAUAAUAAGAACAUGGACCCGUAUUUUGGUGGGGUUUUCUUCUUUGUGGGGGGAUAGGAUAUGAAAACACAGAAUAAUAAAUUAGACUUCAAAUUUUCA